rnacentral:rRNA from 1 species
CUUUCGCCUGCCGGCGACCGGCGCACGGGUGAGUAACACGUAUGGAACCUGCCUCAUACUCGGGGAUAGCCUUUCGAAAGAAAGAUUAAUACCCGAUGUUAUAGUCCUACCGCAUGAUGGGAUUAUUAAAGAAUUUCGGUAUGGGAUGGGGAUGCGUUCCAUUAGUUAGUUGGCGGGGUAACGGCCCACCAAGACAACGAUGGAUAGGGGUUCUGAGAGGAAGGUCCCCCACAUUGGAACUGAGACACGGUCCAAACUCCUACGGAAGGCAGCAG